UACGGAGGGUGCAAGCGUUGUUCGGAAUCAUUGGGCGUAAAGCGCGUGUAGGCGGCCUGGUAAGUCGGGUGUGAAAUCCCGGGGCCCAACCCCGGAACUGCAUUCGAUACUGCCUGGCUAGAGUCCCGGAGAGGGAGGUGGAAUUCCCGGUGUAGAGGUGAAAUUCGUAGAUAUCGGGAGGAACACCAGCGGCGAAGGCGGCCACCUGGACGGUGACUGACGCUGAGACGCGAAAGCGUGGGGAGCAAACAGG
rnacentral:rRNA from 1 species